rnacentral:lncRNA from 1 species
UGAGUGGCAUUUUUGCUCUAUAUAUCUUGUGAGUGAUAUUUUUUCUCUGCUCAUCUUGUUAUGUAUGUGAUAUUUUUGCUCUGUACAUCUUGUGAGCGGCAUUUUUGCUCUGCUCGUGAUUGUAGAUUGAGGGUCCUUUCGGUUAGCCCUUGUGAGUGGCAUUUUUAUUCUGCUCAUCUUGUGAAUGGCAUUUUUGCUCUACUCUUUGAUGUGCGAGCAGUAUUUUUACUUCGCUCAUCUUG